rnacentral:misc_RNA from 1 species
CUAGGCAUUUCCGGCUAGAAAGUCGUGUUUUUGUGUGUAUAUUUAUCAAGUGCAAGUGUGACUUUAGUUUAGGUUAAAUUAAAUAACUAUGUCUGAGAAAGAACUAAUAGCAUGUUCUUUACUUCUGCGAGAGUACUUUGGAGAAAUUGUAGAAGCUGUUAGCAUGUACUUGGCGAGGAAAGGCUCAACACCACUCAGAGUCUUAGUAGAUGAAACCAAGUUAAACAUUGACAAGGUCAGGAAGGCACUGUGUGUUUUGACUCAACAUAACAUGGUGACAUUUGAUCGGCACAAGCGAGGCUUUGUGAUGUACACCAUAGAUGUUAAGGAAGUUCUUCUACUUGCAAGGUAUACUCGCUACAUAUACUGUGCAAAGACACUAUACGGGGAUGCUGCUGAGCUCAUUGCAGAGGAGAUGCUUCUUCAUGGACAAGUUGGCAUGGAAAGUGUGUGCCAAAAAGUGGAAAACAGACUCAAUGAAGCUCUUGAUGAAGGGAAGCACGUCAGCUCAAAUUCAGUGACUGAGAAAUUUGCCAACUUGGCCCAGACACACUUCAUUCAACGCAGUGCUAUGGUAAAGGAGGAUGAGGAUGAUGCAGCUUGCUCUGCUACUAUGCCAGUGUUGGUCAGUAGUGCAGACAACCAGUUCACAAUAUCUGCUGAAGAAUCUGAUGAUAGCAGAAAAAGGAAAAGGGAGGAAGGAACUAGCACACAGAGCAAGAAACACAAAACUGGCAACGAAUAUGAAUUAUCAGAAUGUAAUAACUUGUGGAAAGUUAACUAUGACCGCUUUCAUCAACACUUUCGGGACCUGGCUAUCAUAUCAGCUGUCGCCAAUAAAAUUGACAAGCGAGCAGGUGAAGUGAUGAGGACAAUGUUGCGGAUUAGCGAGGUGAAAAGUGAUCCGAUAGCUGAAGUCUCGGCACCAAUGUCCAGCAACGAAAUCUUUCAAGCUCUACCGAAAGAGUUGGGCAUCAAGAGCAGUGAUGUGGACCAGUACCUGAAUCUGCUCACUGAGGAUUCUGCAGAGUUUGUGGGAAAGUUGGGGGAGAGCGGCGGUGGCACAUACACUGUCAACAUAAAGAAGGCCAUAACAGAGCAGGCAAAGGCCACUAUUGAAUCCGUUGUGCAGGAAAGGUUUAGCUCGAAGGCAGCACGAAUAUUUAGACUACUGCUGAGGAAGAAAUACUUAGAGCAGAAGCAAAUUGAGGAGUGUGCUAUGAUUCCAGCUAAGGAAGCUAAGGACUUAACCUACACCCUAUUUGCUGAAGCCUUCCUCUCUCUCCAGACGCCUCUUGGAAAAGCAGCAGCGGGUAGAGGCAAUCGUGGCUUCACUCAAGACUUCUGGGUCAGACGAGGCACAGAUACGUGAGGUAGAGGAGAUGAUAACACCUCCCGAGCGCACCCAGCUUCAAAAAGUGGAGCACAUGACCACCAAAUUAGAACAAAGCAAAAUACAGCUGGAUGAGACCAUCUUCAUUCUUAGGCUCAACCUCUCAUAUUGUGUGAGAUAGCAAUAUUGCUGGAGGUAUGGAUACUGCCUUGAACCAGCGCGCCCACUUACCUACUUGAAACGUGCCACUUAUCACCUAGCAAUACAUAGACAUGUUAUUACAGGGAAAACGUUUAGCAAUGUGUUUUCAUAGCUUCUUCUUAACCAUUUGAAACGAUGGCGACUUGUUUGGCAUAUCAAGUGGUUGGAUGUUAAGACUUCAUGGGCACUGAUAACAGUUCUAUGAAAAUGCCACAGUAGUUUUGCUGGUAUAUGUAGUUUGAUGCAUCAUUUAUCAUUGGUGUGAUGUAUAUAAUUAAGAUGAAUAGGAUGUAAAAUAAAGUAAUACUUCUUAUUUAUAUGCAUA